rnacentral:lncRNA from 10 species
UUAUGAGUGCUCUUUAUUGUUGCUGUUCUGGACAGGUACAAAUCUUCUGAAGCAACUUCUGUGGGAUGUUAACUUAGCUUCUCUAACACCUAAAAAAAUUCUUCUUUGUAUUUUCAGCUAAUAGAAGACAGUUCUUCUUCAUCUUGACACCUAGAGCCCUCUAUGUGAUUCACAGAGGACUUAAAAUACUUCUUACUCUGUUGAAGUGUUUAAUUGUACAGAAUAUAUGUACUCUACAGUAUAUGUGAAUCAGCACUCAAAGCAGAGAAGUGAUAACAUCCCAAGCUUCCCCCAUACUUCUACUGACAUGCCCUCAGUCUUUAAGAAAACUCAGUACAGACCUGAUGUUCUGGUUGUACCUGAACUUAAUUGGAGAAACAAACGCAAUUAAAAUACGAAUUUUUUAGUGCAAAUCAAAUGUCUUUCACCAUCUGAAGCCCACUAAUUUGUCUUUUAUAUAUAGUUAAUUUUUUGCCAGUUACAACGUCCAUAGAACCCCAAGAUUUAGAAUGUAUCAUUUAUAUUUCCUCUAAAAGGUAGUAAGAUAUUUCUUCUGCUGUUUUGUGAAGCCACUCUUCUACAGUAUCUGUAGCCUUAUAGCAAAUUAAUUGGUUGUACUAAAAAUUUUAGAGACUGCAUAGGUCUCCCUUUUCUAUCCUAAUUACCUGCAAUAGCCUAGAGACGCUGAGCAUGAUUACAUUAGCAACUUGACUGUUUAAAAAAUUUGUUAUACUUGAUAAUGACCAGACUGUGUGCUGGAGUCAUUUGUUUCCUUCUUUUCUGCUCCCCGAAUACACUAUUUAAUUUGGUUACUUUUAUUUUUAAACUAUAUGGCACCCUUUUAAAUAAACAUUCAUUGCUAAUUAAAAUCUGCCAAUAAAUUGGUCUCAGCAUUUAAAUACCAUAUAUUUUAUAACUCAUACUGUGGCUAUCAAACAGAAGUUAACACAGUAGGGGUAAAGAUAUACAUAAUGUGUACCUAUAGGUGUAUUUAUAAUGCCUGUGUGCAGUAUACAGACAUAAUUACAAAAUACUGCAUUUUAUUAAUGUUUAUUUUAAUAUUGAGAAUUGGCAUUCUUGUAAAUUGAACUGACAAUUGCUUCUAUUCAGUACACUUUAUUUUGAGCAGAUAUUUCCGAAAAGAGAAAAAAUCACUGUUGACAUGCUUUUUAAAACUGUUUUCACCUGUAUUUUGUCUUUCAAAAAGAAAAGUGAUCUAAGUUGGCAUUGUAAAGAAAUUGUUAGCAAAGAAUAUUUUUUUUUAUUUUUUCUUUUGGUAGAAAGUCAUGUUAAUAGUACAACAAAGAAUCAAAGAAUAAAACAUAAUGUUUAAGAACAUUAUUUAUAAGUAGUCAUUGUCUUUGUGCUUUAAAUGUUUCCCUUUUACCUUAGAGUUAUUUUUUAAAAGUUGAAAGUACUUUAAAAAUUGGUUUAAAUGAGUACCCAUUGACAAUUAUCAUUUAAUAGUGCAGUUAAGUUCAGCGAAAAAUUUCAAUAUCUCAAAAAAAUUAGAGAAAAAUAUUGGUAAAUGUAUUUGAUUCACAAAUGUAUUCAUAGCCGAUUGUGAGCUGCUCUACCACAUUUUCCUGUUUUUAUUGUUUCUGUGAAGCUUGAUUAGACUAACUUGCUUAAGGUCUCUUUCCCCUCAAGGAUUCUGUGAUUCUAAUGUAACAAGGUACACACGCUCUCUCUGACCACUUAAAGUAUCAGAGUUCAAAUCUGUUACAAUCACUCCAUUUCCUUUUGGAAAGUUGUGCCUCUCAUAAAGCUGCUUGGACAUUUUAAGUGUUUUGUAAUAUGCAUUGAAGUGUUGAGUUUUGUUUGCUGUAAGAGGCAUUUCACUAUGUUGAUUAAACUUAUCUUUUCUCCC